ensembl:lncRNA
CCCCUGGAGCGAGCUGCCCCCUGUGAUGAUCAAACACACACCGUGGAGGAGAUGGUGGGGGGGGGGGGGGGCGUGUUGUGCGUGCGGUUCAAUCGGCGUUCUGUUUGAGCGCUUUGUCUCAUUAUUUUGGAGGUACGGACGCGACGGGUCCGCCGACCCCCGAGCGACGGUGGAUCCGCCGUCCACAGCAGGAAACAAGCCGCUCAUCACGGACUUUGAAUCAAUCGGCACGACGGACUCUGACUGCGAAAACAACUUUUUAAUCACUUCCCAGAAAUGAUUCAUCAGACUUGAAGGAAACACAUUUUCCCCCCCGGCUCAUUUUUACUGUACAAGACGUCUUUAAUUAAGCCGGCUGCGCCCCGAGAUGAGCCUGCUGUAGUUUGUGCGGUUGCAACACGGACGACCUGGAGAGAAGAGUGGAAGCUGCUCAUCGAUGGUCCACCGGACCAGCAGAUGUUUGGCCGGUCCGGAGCACGUUUUGACUGGUGAGAUUUCGGGAGCAGAGCCUGUAAGAAGUGAAGCAAAUGGCGUUAAACUGGGGGAACCGCCCAAGGGACGCGACACACUGCGAGGCACUUUCCUUUAUGCUGAUGAUCAAAUUCAUCAUCAUGCAUCUGCUGCAGUACAAUUUACGACGCAAGCGUCUGCCGGGGGGAGAAACUCAAAGACAUCGAAGAAUCCAACACAGAAAUGUUCUCCAAACAACAACAACAACAACCAACCGUCAACGGCGGAGCCAAAGUCCAAUAGUUCAGCUGAUUGAAGUGUUUUGGCUUCUACCAGCAGACCCCCCCCCUAAACUGCUCCAACAGCAAAACUGUCACCUGCACGCUGAGAGGAUAAAUCAAACGCUCCUCAAGUAUUCAAAAUGUAUUCAGCGUUUCUUUGGGCUCGGCCGCGGAGCCGUUAAAUCCAAGCCGAGUCACUCGGCGGCGUCUUAAUUAAUGAGGCCACUCUGGAGAUUUAUUCUCGGGAACCAAUUACGGAAUCUACGACUCCGGGGCGAGAAUCAAUCGGUGCCGCUGUUAUGACAUCACAAGUGACUUCGCAAGCGUCCUCAAUGGCGCCACGGCAUCGGUGAGGAGGACGGACGCUGACGAAAGGAACGACAAAGUCGCUUCUUUGAGGUCGGCGGGAACUAGUAAUGCAAUCACAGCCGGCAGUAUGAAUCAGAAGGGAAGGAUGCUCCGGGACAGACGGAACUCAUCCGGCUAACGUGUCGGUUUAAGAGUUCAUCGAUCCACAUGUUACAUUAGAUUAUUGUCUAUUAAGACAACGGCAGUUUAACCAGAAGUGCAAGAGAGCAGAUAAAGUGCAGAGUACAUAUAAAUAAAUGUACAGUGUGAAAUAGAUACGUGGAGCAGUAGAUACGUUAUUGUAACGACAAAUUAGUGCAAACGUAGCAUAGCUGAGCAAAUGUGUACGAUGGCCCUGAAGUGCAAAACACAACGGCAAACAUAGGAACGCACAACGGCAUUCACUUCUUACGGAAAGGGGAGGGCCUUAUAGCAGGAAGCAGAGGACGGACCCCUCUGAUUGGACAGACGGACAGUCUGUCUUUUAACCCUCUUAAUCCGAAGCUUUUCGCCGGCGACGGAAAGUGACACGGAGGAUUCAAAUGACAGCCACUCCUUUAACUAUCUGCACAAUCGGAUUGUGAAAGCUGAGAAACGCCGCUUUCUAGAUAUUCUGUCAAUCAAUAAAUCAGAGGCGGGACUGAGAGUCUGGGAUGAGGGGUCACGGAGAGAUGACGAUGUUUUACGAGUGUCUUAAAAGUGUCCUACUAGUGUUUCACCGUUGUUUUACCGCCGUUUUGUUCAAUUAUAUUUAGGUCUUGUAAAUAAAAGUAAAUAAAAAGGGGUGGGGGUGGGUGAGGGGGGGGGGGUGUGCGCCACCUUUGGCUUUCCUGAAGUCUACAACGAGCUCCUUGGUCUUCUCGGUGUUGAGUGCCUGGUGGUUGUUGGUGCUGGACCUCGUUCCUGCAGGCCGACUCACCGCUGUCUGUUGGUCUGUUGGCCAGUUCCUGAGGGAGGCGUGUCCCCAGUGAAUAGGACUCCUGAAUGACCUUUGCUGAGCAGCACAAACAAUGCAUCCGUCCACGCUACACGGCGGAUUGACGCCUGGAGAGAACGUUUCCUCCUCGCUCUCCACGGGCAACGUGAUCUCCAAAACCUGUUUGUAAAAACGUGUACGAAAAUACUUGAACAUACAAAUUUGUAUCAAGACAUAGGAACUGGCGGUGUUUAACCGCGCCCCCUCAGUCAACAACAUGUUUUUGAGGGGGUCAGUAUUCUAUUCUUACAAGUUAACAUUGAUUUCUCGUUAAAAACGCAAUCAUUACACGUUUGUUUUACAUCGUCAUGUCCCACGUCAUCAGUUGCAGUCCGUAUUUAUUUUGUGUGUAUCACUACAAAUUUGUAUGUUCAGGAAGAACAGGUGUUGGAGAUCAGGCCGCCGCGUGGAGCCGACUGGAGGAGGGGAGAUACGAGCGACCUGCUGCGAAUCACGAGGAGACGUCAGAGAGUUGAUGACUUACCUGACAGACCUUCAGCACUAUGGUAGAACACACACACACACACACGUUGCAGCGAAUGUUGACGUCGUUUCCAAAAUGUGCCCUUUAGCAGAGCUGCGGCGUGAAUGAGAAGCUCUGCGCUUUUACAGCAUUGCGGCUUUUGAAAAGAAAAGAAACGGGAAAACCGAAACGGCAGAGCAGCGAGCCGCGUGCACGUGGACUCGUGCACGCGGCUCGGCGAGGGAGACCCUGGACUGCAGAACCGUCUCUGCUGCUUAGGAUGCUUCCCGCAUGGACGUGAGCAUGAGCCACGGAUUCAGCAAUAAUGUCCUAGUGGCAAUCAGACUGAAACGCCGCAGCGGCCACAAAUCACCCAGAUAUGGAAUAUUUAUAACACAGCCCGUAAACUCAAGCGGGACGGGAAAGGUUCUGAAAACUGAACCCGGCGCGCGGCCGUCCGGAGGGAAUGAUUGUGAUAACAAAAUCGUCUUUUUUUUUGUUACUUAUCGAGUGGAAAUGCAGCAAACAUACGCUGGUUCUGUCCUUUGGACCGUGAGGACGUGCAGCUUUGUGUUUUAUGUGAUCCGUGGCUCCACGUCUGCGCGCUUCAGCAGGAGGAGCAGAAAGGCCUCGCGGCCGCGUGGUUGUGCAGGUCGCGUCCUGCAGGAAACGCCGCGAUUGGGUGCGUUUCCCACCGUAAAGCACGCAGCGCUGUGAUUGGCUGCAUCCAAAGCCGCGCGCCCGUCAUCUUCUCCCCUCGUCUCGUGAUGCUUCUUCCUCCCUUAAAGCUCCGGCACGGAGCCAAAGCCAACGUGUUUUUAUUCGUGCUUUUAGCAGCGAGAAUCGAUUCAUUCAGAGAGGAGAUUUAAAAGAAAAGAAAACAGCAUCGUCCUUCUAACAACCUUCAAUCAGUUAGAGGCUCUAUUCAAAUGAAACACAGCUAAUGAGGCCACACACACACACGCACACACACACACACACGCACACACACACACACACACACACGCACACACACACACACACACACGCACACACACGCCGUAGCCAAAGGAAACCAGUCGGAGACGUUCUGGCAGUCGGUUGAAGUCGUCCAUCAUGCCGGGUGACCAAAAACAAACAGCCAAUCCGAGCGGCGGGUUUGAGGCUGCUCUGCUGCUCCGGCGUCGCCUUCACCGAGUUACGGCGCCGUGAAAAACCGGCGGGACGCUUUGAGAGCAUCCUACUCCCCCUCGGCAAAUCGGGGACGAGUCGUAGUCAGAGAGUCGUAGUACAGACGGCCCCCCGGCCUCCUGCUUCCUGCUGCCCACCAACAGCCUCUUGACUGCUGCUGACGAAUACGCGUGUCCCCAAUUAAUAAAAGUAAAUGACCUUCCUUCCAUGUCGUCUUCUUGCUGAGCAACACAAAAAACGCAUCCGUCCACACGACGGAUGCGUUUCCUUUUCACUAUUCCUCGAGCUGCCAUGAAGCCGGGCGGCUGAAAUGCUUCAUGCGUACCGAUCAUUAAAAUACAUCCAGCUUCAUCUUCCUGCCUCACUGCGAACUGCUGAUCAAUUAGAUCAAUUAGAUCUCUCUGCCUGCUCAGAUUGAUGCAACGUUUUUUGAGCUAUGAAUAUAAAUAUAAAUAUUCACUUUAAAUUGUCUCUAUUAAAGCGCUCAGACACACACACACACACACACACACACACACACACACACACCUGUCUACACACACACACACACACACACAGACAACAGAAGCAGGGUGAAGCACAGAUCGGCGGCUCACUAACUUUGUGUGUUUUCUCUUGUGUGCGUCGUGCACGUCUCAUGAGUCUCUUGUGUGCGUCGUGCACGUCUCGGGAGUCUCUUGUGUGCGUCGUGCACGUCUCAUGAGUCUCUUGUGUGAUUCUCGGUAGAUAUUUCUUGCAUUAGAGAUGUUACAAAGUAUCGUAUGUUUCACUUCUUUUUUUUCCGGUUAAAUAUAAUUUCUGUCUCGCGGAGCUUCACCGUCCUUUGAUGUCUUCACAGCUGCAUAAUCUUUUUAUUUCUCUCUUGUUCUUCACAUGAAACACGUUUUCAUGGAUUACCUUUUUCUGCAUCUUUUUAAAGCACAUUAAAGGCAUCUUGCAGUGGCCAUCGUGUUUUUUCUGCAAGAAGUGGACAGGAAGUGACCAUAUUUGAACUGAGCGAAGCGUCUUUGGUAGACCUGUCAAUCACUGCAUAGGCCCGCCCUAAAGCAUCCAUUCAAUGUUUAUUUUAUUUCCCUUUGUGCUGUAGAUACAUCGUGUAUUCAUAUGCAAAAAAACAGAUAGAAUAUAGACAACAGCAAAUAGAUCAUUUGCUGUUGACGAGGUGUUGAUUGAAUGAAUAGUUCAAUCACACCAGCUGGUCAUGCAGUGUGAUGAUGAUUAUUAUCAGGAAGCAGAGAGGACGAGGCGGUUUACUGUAGUAAGACACUUAGACCAAGAGGCAGCGGUUCUAAACUACAUUUACAACCACAAGCAAAUAAAACUUCAUCUAAACCUCAAAUACUGCGUGGCGUGUGUGUGUGUGUUUUAACAGUCUUGUGGGGACAUUAAUCUGUUCACACAUUCACAUUGUGGGGACUCACCUUCUUGACAGGGACGUCCCCACAACGUGACCUAUUACACAUUAUGGUGAAGUUAUUUUAGGGUUUGUCUCCACGAAAUUAAUUUAAGUCAAUGGCAGGUCUCCGAAAGUCGUGCUGGGUGGGAUUACAUGUAAAUAUGAAGAUAGAGGUCUGGGGACUUUGGUGUUUGUGUCUUUAAUAGUGUGCGUGUGUGUGUGUGUGUGUGUGUGAUCUGGGAUGUUGUGUUUCUGGGAGAGAAGAACUUUAUCUGAAACGCCGCAUGUGUCAGGGACGCGUGGAAAGGCAGGACUCAAACGCAGAGUUCAAAGCAAAAAGACUUUAAUAGUCAAAAUCCAAAAAGCAAAAGGCCAACGGGCAAAAACACACAGGAACA